rnacentral:rRNA from 1 species
CCUACGGGAGGCAGCAGUAGGGAAUUUUCGGCAAUGGGGGGAACCCUGACCGAGCAACGCCGCGUGAACGAAGAAGUUAUUCGUAAUGUAAAGUUCUUUUAACAGGGAAGAAAGAGAAAUUUGACGGUACCUGAAGAAUAAGCUCCGGCUAACUACGUGCCAGCAGCCGCGGUAAUACGUAGGGAGCGAGCGUUAUCCGGAAUUAUUGGGCGUAAAGGGUGCGUAGAUGGCAUAGUAAGUCUUUUGUAAAAAUGCUGGGCUCAACCCAGUAGGGCAAAAGAUACUGCAAAGCUAGAGUAUGACAGAGGCAAGUGGAACUACAGGUGUAGCGGUAAAAUGCGUAGAUAUAUGUAAGAACACCAGUGGCGAAGGCGGCUUGCUGGGUCGAUACUGACAUUGAGGCACGAAAGCGUGGGGAGCAAACAGGAUUAGAUACCCGGGUAGUC